rnacentral:rRNA from 1 species
UACGUAGGGGGCAAGCGUUGUCCGGAAUCAUUGGGCGUAAAGAGCGCGUAGGCGGCCCGAUAAGUCCGCUGUGAAAGUCGAGGGCUCAACCCUCGAAUGCCGGUGGAUACUGUCGGGCUAGAGUACGGAAGAGGCGAGUGGAAUUCCUGGUGUAGCGGUGAAAUGCGCAGAUAUCAGGAGGAACACCAAUUGCGAAGGCAGCUCGCUGGGACGUUACUGACGCUGAGACGCGAAAGCGUGGGGAGCAAACAGG